rnacentral:rRNA from 1 species
AUUGGAGGCUAGUAUGAAUGGACACACGAGGGCUCUACUGUCUCCUAACUAGUUUUAUAAAUUAGUCUUUAAGUGAAGAGACUUAAAUAUAAUAAAAAGACGAAAAGACCCUAUGGAGCUUUAUUAUGGUUAAGUUUAUGUUUUAUAUUAUAUGGUUUAAGUGUAAUUCAGUUGGGGCGACUGAGGAAAAUAAUAAAUCUUCCUCUAAGAAAAAGAAAAUGGUUCUUUUUAAUUGAUCCGGUAAUAACGAAUAAAGAUCUAGCUACCCUAGGGAUAACAGGCUUAUUCUUCUUGAGAGUUCAAAUCGACAGAAGAGA